rnacentral:pre_miRNA from 1 species
AGUGGUAUAGCCAGGUCAAAUGGUGGUUUUAUUCCAAGUUAUUAUCUGAGUAAUAUCUAUAGUGCUUUCUAGAGUGGUGGCACCAAUUUGCAGUCCCACCAGCAAU